GACGGGGCGCGCGGUGCGGGACGCGGAGGCUGGGAUGCGCGCGCUGGACGGUGGGUGCUGAGGUUCCAACCUGUCGGUUGCAGCGGGCUGGGGAACUGUGAGCCCGCAGAGGCCGACAAGGGGUUCUGGGAGGCGGCACUGGGCCCUAUACACCGCCCGCUAUUGGGAGAGAACCGGUUUCCAUCUUGGAAGGCAGAAAUCUGUUCCAGCUGUGUGUUCAGUCCUAGCUGGGCGCUGGUGUCCUUUAAUGGUGGUAGUUCUUCUUGAGUGACAGUUCAGACUUCGUCCAACCGUUCUCCAUCGUCUUGAAGAGGAAACCUUCAACUGACUAAAGGGACCUCCUCCUGAGCACAGACCAAAAGCAAAGGAUGCAGAUAGAUUCCAAAGCUUAAUAAAGAUUCUCUUGCUUAAUAAAGAUUCCCUUGCUUAAUAAAGAUCAUAGACGCUUUGGGAUGGCGUCAGAAGACCAGGCCCCCAUGCCUGCCACCAUAAUUCUACGGAAAUGGAGAUGGAGACGCUAAAGAGAAGCAAAAACCUUUUCCAGGGUAUUGUUAAGACCUUCAAACUUCAGAUACAGACACUCACUGAAUGCGAG
rnacentral:lncRNA from 1 species